ACCUGCUCGGUGAGUAUAUUUUAACAGCCGCGGUACUCUGACCGUGCAAAGGUAGCAUAAUCAUUUGCCUUAUAAUUGAAGGCUAGUAUGAAUGGUUUGACGAGAAUUAAGCUGUCUCUUUUUAACUAAAUAUAACUUUAUUAAGAGGUGAAGAAGCCUGUAUUUUAUUGAAAGACAAGAAGACCCUAUCGAGCUUUAAAGAAUUUAGUAGAUUUACCAUAUAUUAAUAAAAAAGUAAAGCAACUAAAUAUUUUGGUUGGGGCGACUGAGGAACAAACAAAGCUUCCUUUAUGCUAAUUAAAACUUACAAGUAUUGAUCCAAUUUAUUUGAUUAAAGAAAUUAGUUACCGUAGGGAUAACAGCAUAAUCUCCUUUGAGAGUUCUCAUCGAAAAGGGGGUUUGUGACCUCGAUGUUGGACCAGAAUACCCAGAAGAUGCAGCCGUCUUCAAUGGUUGGUCUGUUCGACCAUUAAAAUUCUACGUGAUCUGAGUUCAGACCGGCGUGAGCCAGGUCAGUUUCUAUCUUCAAUUUCUAUAGUGGCCUUAGU
rnacentral:rRNA from 1 species